AUUGAACGCUGGCGGAAUGCUUUACACAUGCAAGUCGAGCGGCAGCGCGGGGCAACCUGGCGGCGAGCGGCGAACGGGUGAGUAAUACAUCGGAACGUACCCAGUUGUGGGGGAUGGCCCGGCGAAAGCCGGAUUAAUACCGCAUACGACCUGAGGGUGAAAGGGGGGGAUCGCAAGACCUCUCGCAGUUGGAGCGGCCGAUGGCGGAUUAGCUAGUUGGUAGGGUAAAGGCCUACCAAGGCGACGAUCCGUAGCGGGUCUGAGAGGACGACCCGCCACACUGGAACUGAGACACGGUCCAGACUCCUACGGGAGGCAGCAGUGGGGAAUUUUGGACAAUGGGGGCAACCCUGAUCCAGCCAUUCCGCGUGAGUGAAGAAGGCCUUCGGGUUGUAAAGCUCUUUCGGCAGGAACGAAACGGUCCUUUCUAAUACAGAGGGCUAAUGACGGUACCUGAAGAAGAAGCACCGGCUAACUACGUGCCAGCAGCCGCCGUAAGAC
rnacentral:rRNA from 1 species